rnacentral:rRNA from 1 species
UGCCCAGGAAAUAUUUUGCCUUGGGUUGUAAUCUUGUCAACUCUCACAAGCUAAGAAGGGUCAAGUUUUGGUCAGUACUUGAAUGGGAGACCAACAAAGAAAACCCAAGGUACAGGGUAC